AGCUUUGUGCAGUGGCAGUAUCGUAGCCAAUGAGGUUAUCCGAGGUGCGAUUAUUGCUAAUUGAAAACUUUUCCCAAAAGACUAGGAUAGGCAUCAGGCUUCUCAAAAGCCUCCCCAAAUCCCAGCACUUAGGGAGGCAGAGGCAGAAGUAUUUCUAGUUCAUGACUCACCUGAGUAACUUAGCAAGAGCUUGUCUUUUAAUUUUUAAAAAAAUGGGCU
rfam:Fukomys damarensis contig124793, whole genome shotgun sequence.